CAGGGCUUUGCCCUCUAAAACAUCUGGAUCAUGCACUCCCUGGACUUUCCAACACCGACCCACUUAACUGUUGGGGGAGGGAGAGAGAGCAGAGAGAGUCACAUGUAAACUCCUUGGCAUCAACUGCAAGUUUCCUGUAAUCCAUCGACAACCUGGUGGAAAUCAAACACUGAGGAGGGAAAAUAAGUUCACAGAAAGUCCAAAAAACAACAACAACAAAAACAAAUCCAGCGCCAUACGCACCAAGGCCAGGCAAAUGUAUGACCACGCCGUUACCUACAAGAUCAGAGAGAAGAUAUCAAAGAGUUGAGACGAAACACAUUUGUGGAAUGUGGAGGAGAAGCUGUACCCUGCAGCCUUUUGGCAGAUUUCAAUGUCCUCUGGCAAUGCCAACAGUUCCGGGUGGUUUUCUUCUGCUUCCUA